UCCUGGCUUAGGAUGAACGCUAGCUACAGGCUUAACACAUGCAAGUCGCGGGGCAUCAUGGUGUGUAGCAAUACACACUGAUGGCGACCGGCGGAUGGGUGAGUAACGCGUAUCCAACCUGGCCCUAUCUCGGGCACAGCCCCUCGAAAGAGGGAUUAAUUCCCGAUGUUCCCACGAGUUCGCAUGUCUUGUGGGCAAAGGCCUUUGCCGGAUAGGGAUGGGGAUGCGUUCCAUUAGGCAGUCGGCGGGGUAACGGCCCACCGAGCCUUCGAUGGAUAGGGGUUCUGAGAGGAAGGCCCCCCACACUGGGACUGAGACACGGCCCAGACUCCUACGGGAGGCAGCAGUGAGGAAUAUUGGUCAAUGGCGGCAACGCUGAACCAGCCAAGUAGCGUGAGGGAUUACGGCCCUAUGGGUUUUAAACCUCUUUUGUUGGGGAGCAACCUGUGCCACUAGUGGCACACUGCGAGUACCCUUCGAAUAAGCAUCGGCUAACUCCGUGCCAGCAGCCGC
rnacentral:rRNA from 1 species